AAGUCGUAACAAGGUCUCCGUAGGUGAACCUGCGGAGGGAUCAUUAACUUGUGAUCAGAUGAAAUGUGACAGCAAUGUCAUGUUUCAUCUAUCAACCAAACAAACAAACAAACCCCGUGCAUUUGAGUAUUCAGUUACUCAUUUCCAGCCCCGCAAUUGAACCGCGUAACGGAGCAUAUUAUUUGCUGACCAGUGGCGUGUACACCGUUUGCAAUGGCUUGCUUCACCGCUUGCCUGGUGUUCCCCACCUCGUGUAGUAGAUUCGGACAACUUUCACAUUUCUUAACAAACAUAUUUCACCCAUUCGUACAACCAUUGACUGAAACGAAAGGUGUUUUUUAACCGAAACGCCUACAUUCGAGUUUAUUCGAAAUCUAAGCACAACUCUUAGCAACGGAUAUCUUGGUUCUC
rnacentral:misc_RNA from 1 species